AUGGACCGCAUCAGCGAUCUCCCGGAUGGAAUCCUUGGGGAGAUCAUCUCCCUUCUCCCCACCAAGGAUGGUUGCCACACACAAGUCCUCGCAUCUCGGUGGCGCACUCUAUUGCACACCGCGCCUCUUAAUCUUGACUAUCAUCAGCUAUCUGUUGAUGAUGAUUCUGAACUCCCUGGAGCCAUCAUCUCCUCCCAUGAGGGCUCCGUUCAACGCAUCUGCAUCCCGGCAUGCUACCUGCUAGACAUACCUGAUAUGUCUCCAUCAUAUCUAUAA
rnacentral:rRNA from 1 species